rnacentral:rRNA from 1 species
ACCCGACUGCUAUCAGAGUGGGACUAAGCCAUGCGAGUCAACAUAGCAAUAUGUGGCAUACGGCUCAGUAACCCGUAGUCAACAUGCCCAGGGGACGUGGAUAACCUCGGGAAACUGAGGAUAAACCGCGAUAAGUCACUACUUCUGGAAUGAGUAAUGACUCAAAUCUAUAUGGCCCCUGGAUUGGACUGCGGCCGAUCAGGCUGUUGGUGAGGUAAUGGCCCACCAAACCUGUAACCGGUACGGGCUCUGAGAGGAGGAGCCCGGAGAUGGGCACUGAGACAAGGGCCCAGGCCCUAUGGGGCGCAGCAGGCGCGAAAUCUCUGCAAUAGGCGAAAGCUUGACAGGGUUACUCUGAGUGAUUCCCGCUAAGGGGAUCUUUUGGCACCUCUAAAAAUGGUACAGAGUAAGGGGUGGGCAAGUCUGGUGUCAGCCGCCGCGGUAAUACCAGCACCCCGAGUGGUCGGGACGAUUAUUGGGCCUAAAGCAUCCGUAGCUUGUCCUGCAGGUCCUCCGUUAAAUCCACCUGCUCAACAGAUGGGCUGCGGGGGAUACUACAGGGCUAGGAGGCGGGAGAGGCAAACGGUACUCAGUGGGUAGGGGUAAAAUCCUCUGAUCCACUGAAGACCACCAGUGGCGAAGGCGGUUUGCCAGAACGCGCUCGACGGUGAGGGAUGAAAGCUGGGGGAGCAAACCGGGUUAGAUACCCGGGUAGUCCCAGCUGUAAACAAUGCAGACUCGGUGAUGGGCUGGCCUUGUGCCAACCCAGUGCCGCAGGGAAGCCGUUAAGUCUGCCGCCUGGGGAGUACGGUCGCAAGACUGAAACUUAAAGGAAUUGGCGGGGGAGCACCACAAGGGGUGAAGCCUGCGGUUCAAUUGGAUUCAACGCCGGAA